AUGUCUUCCUCCUCCGCCUCCUUCCAGUCGAUGUUCGGUGGUGGAGCCCCGGAGAAGCUCACCCGCACCAACUAUGUGCUGUGGCGGACACAGAUCACGCCGCAGCUGCGGGGCGCCGGCGUCUUCCAUUAUGUCGACGGCACGGCAGCCGAGCCGGCCAAAGACCUCACCACCAAGGACGCCGCCGGCAAGGAGACCACUGAGCCGAAUCCCCUCCAUCCGAUUUGGGUGAAGGAGGAUCAGCAGGUCCUUGGAUAUCUACUCCAACACUUGUCCAAGGAAGUGCUCGUCACGGUGACCACGAUCACCACGGCGCGCGAACUCUGGGUGGCGCUGGCGAGCAUGUUCUCGUCGCAGUCACUCAGCCGCGUCAACAACAUCCGCACAGCGCUGAUUAAUGCGCAGGAGGGCAAUCAAUCGGUGGCCACUUCUUCGCCGCCAUGA
rnacentral:rRNA from 1 species